CACUAACCCAGUGUGGACACUUGUUGUUUUUUCUGAACAUGUUUUCUACAAAUAAUGCAUUGACAAACAAGUAUUGUUCUUCCUUUAAAAAUUUUUAACUUUUAUUUGAUGCCGUAAACUUUAUUUUCAGUCAUAGAGAAAGCUAUGGAAACAUAAUCAAGGCCAUGGGCAAUCUUCAGUUUUAUUGCAGCAACUUUGGAGAAGUCACAUGAAAAGAUGCAGGGCACAUACCAACAUGUGUGGAGUGUGGUAUUUAUCUGAAUUUUUUACUCAAGCAGUAGAUUCAACAUGACUGUUUGAUGCCAAAGUUAGUUGGAACGCCAACUCAAACACAGAUAACCAUUGCUGCUGUUGCCUUACAGGUUAGAGCAACAGGCAGGAAAAUUAUUCUUUUCUUCAGAAAAUUGUGGCUAAAAUGGUUUGUCCCCCAGCCACCAGGUGACGCGAGUGUCUUCGUGAGGACGAAAUAUUUGUCAUUUGUUUCCGAAACGCUGAAUGAAAUUUGUGAACGCUGAGUGAAAAUUCAUUACGGAAUUGCGGUGUCGAUCUACAUUUUCAGCCAUGAAAUGGCAAUCUGGCAUAUAAUUUCACUUUGCCAAAUAAUGUGACGACGUGGGUCGAAACUGCUGUCCAUUUUGCCGAAAUGUCGGCCAUUGUUAGCUGUACCUAUACGGCUAUACGUCUCAUCUUGUGCUGAAACACUUCAGAGCUAGUAAAGUCAAAGACGGAGAUCCCUUUGCUCAACUGUUACAGAAAUCGAGAACACAACAAAGUCUGAGCUUCAUGGCUGUUGUAUCAUUAAUGUGGUUUUGUUGCAGCCAGCUGGUGAAAGGUGUGAUAAAGUCAAGUUGAGCUUCAGCUGCUGCAUGCAGUUUAUCAAACUGUUGUUAUCCCUAUUGUCACAACAGGAAGACUUCUUGAAUUGGAGUUCAUGGUCAGUUUCAUGUUUGAGCUGUUUAUGGUGUUGCUGUUUGGUGUACAGUGGUUUUGAAGUCCCUAUCCAGUUGAGAGAUGCUCUGAAGCAGACUUGCAGUUCAACAUCACACUUAAAUGUGUCAUUUGCCUAUGUUGGUCCAUGCAGUAUAUGCCGUGUUGAAAAGUUGGGUAAAAUAGUCAAUGUUGCCUGAUGGCUGUCGGUCUUGUUUUAUCGGCUGCAUUUUUUCGAUAUGUCGUCUCUUGGUACCGGCGUUGAGUUUCAUCGUUUGUUGCCGUUCCAUAGACUUGAUCCAUUGGUAAAACUGAGGAGAGGUUGCUGAAAUUCAAGACUCGUCAAUAUAAAUUAUGUAGAUGUAGAAAAAAUUACAAGUGCAUAUCUGGGCUCCCUUCUUCAGUGGCCCCGUUUCCCUAACAUAACCACUAACCAACGCCCGCCGGUGGUCACUCACCCGCU
rnacentral:lncRNA from 1 species